rnacentral:lncRNA from 1 species
GAUCAAAGCGGUGAAAUCCAGUAAGGGUUUAGUAAGCCGGCACCUGGGUAGUGCCAGAGUGCAUUGGGAGCCCUCUCUCCACCACAUCUCCUCACACUGGAUCUCACUGUGUUGUCCAGGCUGAUCUGGAGCCACUGGAGCUCAGGAAAACCCAUAGCCUAAGCCUUUUGAGUGGAUGGGCCUCCUCCAGGUGUACAUCCCCAGCCUGGCCACCAUUGUUAUUGAAACCCUCCCGCCGCAAGGGCAGAGAGCCUCCUGCUCUCAGUACCCUACUGUAUGUAGCAUCUCCAUUACAGAUAGGGAAACUGAGGCCUGGAGUGGGGAAGGACCUAUCCAGGGUCACUUAACAGUUUCCCUGGAGAGUAAGAAGUGACACAAAACUCCUUCAUUCCUACUUGGGUGCUGUCCCUUCCCUCCCUCUGCCUCCUGUCCUCCCAGGUGUUUCAUGCCUGGCACCGCAUGGGCCCGGGGCAGAACCUAGAAGAGAAGGCAGAGUCUGGCAAUGGAGUAGGCUCCUCCGAGGCCAUCGUGCGCUCAGGCCAUCGUGCGCUCUCAGCCUCCGCCCUUUGUCUGUGGCUUUGUGAUGCUGUGGAGACAGAGAGGCUGGGAGGUGUUCACCAACCCCAGUGCUGGCAGCCAGGAGGCAGGGAAGCUGGGAUCUUCGCCCAGGCCAACCGCAGCCACCAGGAGGAGUGAUCACUAAUAAAUACUUGGAAGGUGUCUUGGCCCAACUCUCUAUCCGGGGCUAGCGGUGUUAACUCUUGUCAGUUUCUCUAUUUCACAGAUGGGGUUCCCAAGUCCAGACCUCCUUGGGAAGAGGGCUCAGGAAAACUUAAAUGGUAGUGCAGAGGCUGUUCUAGGGCUGCGCCAACCAACUCUUGGUGACUGAGAUUACUCACACUGGCUUUCCUGCUUUUCU